rnacentral:rRNA from 1 species
UACGGAGGGUGCAAGCGUUAAUCGGAAUUACUGGGCGUAAAGCGUGCGCAGGCGGUUUGUUAAGUCCGCUGUGAAAUCCCCGAGCUCAACUUGGGAAUUGCAGUGGAUACUGGCAAGCUGGAGUAUGGUAGAGGAAGGUGGAAUUCCCGGUGUAGCAGUGAAAUGCGUAGAGAUCGGGAGGAACACCAGUGGCGAAGGCGGCCUUCUGGACCAAUACUGACGCUCAGGCACGAAAGCGUGGGGAGCAAAAGGG